GUGGGGAAUAUUGGACAAUGGGCGAAAGCCUGAUCCAGCCAUGCCGCGUGUGUGAAGAAGGUCUUCGGAUUGUAAAGCACUUUAAGUUGGGAGGAAGGGUAGUAACCUAAUACGUUGCUACUUUGACGUUACCGACAGAAUAAGCACCGGCUAACUUCGUGCCAGCAGCCGCGGUAAUACGAAGGGUGCAAGCGUUAAUCGGAAUUACUGGGCGUAAAGCGCGCGUAGGUGGUUCAGUAAGUUGGAGUUGAAAACCCCGGGCUAAAGCUGGGAACUGCUUUCAAAACUGCUGAGCUAGAGUACGGUAGAGGGUGGUGGAAUUUCCUGUGUAGCGGUGAAAUGCGUAGAUAUAGGAAGGAACACCAGUGGCGAAGGCGACCACCUGGACUGAUACUGACACUGAGGUGCGAAAGCGUGGGGAGCAAACAGGAUUAGAAACCCGGGUAGUCC
rnacentral:rRNA from 1 species